CCUACGGGAGGCAGCAGUGGGGAAUAUUGGGCAAUGGGGGAAACCCUGAUCCAGCCAUGCCGCGUGAGUGAAGAAGGCCUUAGGGUUGUAAAGCUCUUUCAGCGGGGAAGAUAAUGACGGUACCCGCAGAAGAAGCCCCGGCUAACUCCGUGCCAGCAGCCGCGGUAAU
rnacentral:rRNA from 1 species